rnacentral:rRNA from 1 species
GCCAUAAUAAGGUGAAACCGCGAAUGGCUCAUUAAAUCAGUCAUGGUUCCUUAGAACAUACCAUCCUUCUUGGAUAACUGUGGUAAUUCUAGAGCUAAUACAUGCAACAGAGCUCCGACCCUUGUGGAACGAGCGCUUUUAUUAGACCAAAGACCAAUCGGAGCUUCGGCCCCGUCAGUCUGUGGUGACUCUGGAUAACUUUUAGCGGAUCGCACGGUCAUCGUGCCGGCGACUCCUCUUUCAAAUGUCUGCCUUAUCAACUUUCGAUGGUAGGUUAAUUGCCUACCAUGGUUGUAACGGGUGACGGGGAAUCAGGGUUCGAUUCCGGAGAGGGAGCCUGAGAAACGGCUACCACAUCCAAGGAAGGCAGCAGGCACGCAAAUUACCCACUCCCAGUACGGGGAGGUAGUGACGAAAAAUAACAAUGCGGGACUCUUACGAGGCCCCGUAAUUGGAAUGAGUCCACUUUAAAUCCUUUAACGAGGACCUAUUGGAGGGCAAGUCUGGUGCCAGCAGCCGCGGUAAUUCCAGCUCCAAUAGCGUAUACUAAAGUUGUUGCGGUUAAAAAGCUCGUAGUUGGAUGUCAGUCGCGGGCGGGCGGUCCACCGUUUUGGUGGUUUACUGCUCGUCCCGCGACCUACUGGCCGGCCUCCCCCGCUAUGCUCUUCACCGGGUGUGGCGGGUGGCCGGAAAGUUUACUUUGAAAAAAUUAGAGUGCUCUAAGCAGGUGCUUGCCGCCUGAAUAACACAGCAUGGAAUAAUGGAAUAGGACCUCGGUUCUAUUUUGUUGGUUUUCGGAAUUCCGAGGUAAUGAUUAAUAGGGACAGACGGGGGCA